rnacentral:rRNA from 1 species
UACGGAGGGUGCAAGCGUUAUCCGGAUUCACUGGGUUUAAAGGGUGCGUAGGUGGGGUGGUAAGUCAGUGGUGAAAUCUCCAAGCUUAACUUGGAAACUGCCGUUGAUACUAUCAUUCUUGAAUAUCGUGGAGGUAAGCGGAAUAUGUCAUGUAGCGGUGAAAUGCUUAGAUAUGACAUAGAACACCGAUUGCGAAGGCAGCUGGCUAUACGAGUAUUGACACUGAGGCACGAAAGCGUGGGGAUCAAACAGG